AAAAUUAUCUGGAACCGGGAUCAAGGUGGAGGCUCGCCAUUGCACUCUGGCGGGUGAAGCCUGCGACAACUCUAAUCGGGCUUGCCUGGGUGCGUAGAUUUUGGUAGUGGGGUGAUCUUGGGAUCAUCCUUUU
rnacentral:snRNA from 13 species